rnacentral:rRNA from 1 species
AGCGAAGCUUUUCAGUAGUUUACUACAGAAAAUGACUGAGCGGCGAACGGGUGAGUAACGCGUGAGCAACCUACCUUAGUUACUGGGAUAGCCCGAGGAAACUCGGAUUAAUACUAGAUAUUCUUAUUAAAUCACAUGAUUUUUUAAGGAAAGGUCAGCCGAACUAAGAUGGGCUCGCGUUCUAUCAGCUAGUUGGUAGGGUAAUGGCCUACCAAGGCUACGACGGAUAGCUGGUCUGAGAGGACGAUCAGCCACACUGGGACUGAGACACGGCCCAGACUCCUACGGGAGGCUGCAGCAGGGAAUAUUGCGCAAUGAGCGAAAGCUUGACGCAGCGACACCGCGUGUGGGAUGACGGAUCUAGGUUUGUAAACCACUUUCAGGAGGGAAGAAAAUGACGGUACC